AAAUCACUUUUAACCGUUACAAAUAUUAUCUCGUUAUAAUAUUUUUAGACUCAAAGGAUAUCCGUUAUUCAAAAUGAGGCAAGGGUAUGACCAUAAUUGACCUAGUACAGCGGGAUCCGAAAGGUUCUAACCAUUACGUUAAGGUGAAAUCUUUUGAAUACACACUAUGUAUAUGUACACAAACACAAUGGUAUGGUCUUUUUGGUUGCACAUCAUUCAUUUACAUAUAUCUGUUAAGCCAUCAAUGUCAAGACAAAGGUACCAAUGGCUAAAAAGUAAACAAGCUUUUAAUGUAGGCACAGUUUUGGGGGAAAUCGACUUUAACCACCCUACACUACGGCUAACUAACACCUCAUUCAAAAGACACUGAGUCAGGCAUUAUUUUUUUUUGUCUGGUCAUAAGAUUGAAAAAUAACGCAUAUUUCUGGACUUCAGGUUAUAAAAUCAUUGAUUUUUUGUGAAAGGUUAUUUUUGUAGUUAGAUAGCUGUUUCAAUGACGUAUACCGGAACACCAUAUUUCAUUUAAUCAUUAUCUUAAUAAGUAAAAAGUUUGUUUUUUUUCUUCUUCUUAAAAAAAAAAAGAUUAUCUCUGCUACUUACAUACAUAUUCGACAAACAUUGCAUCACAUUGACGUCAAAUGACAAUGAUAUAAAACUACCAAUAAUGACGGCGUUUAUAAAGAUUAAAUGAAUUAACUAAUGAUAGAGUCUAUCGGCAUCAGGACAAGAUAUACAAGUCUUGUUACGGUAGCUACUCAAAUUGAAUAGACAAUCUUAAACCAAGAACAACAGAUCACUGAUGCUCCCUUAUAUAUGUCGUGUACAAGUUGCAAUUUUGUACAGGUUAUAACAUGUACAAAAAUAUUGUACAUGUUAUAACUUGUAUAAUGCAAAAAUACAAGUUAUAACAUGUACAAAAGUACCUCAUACAUGUUACAACCUGUACAAAAUAUUGCUUAAAAAUGGUUUUAACUUGUACAAAAUCGAAAAAUAAGGAUAUUUUUCUAUUAUCGCAACAGAUGAUAUUGACCUCAACAACAUUUUCAUAACUUAUUUAUUAUUCCUUCAUGUUAGUGUGUUUUUUUUUCUUUUUUGAGACAGUUAAUGUCCAGGAGUCGGUAUUACAAAGCAUUCCUGAGACCUGUCAUAAGAUAUAUCUUAGGACAUGUCUUAUGAUCCUCUUAUGACUAUCUAUGGACAUAUCUUUAUUUGAUGAAUUAUAAUUGUGAGUGUCCACUUUGAAGGCAAUAGUAAAAUACUUUCGUUCUAGUUGACACUAAAAGACAUAAGAGGAUAGCCAGAAUAGAUGUGUCUACAAAUAAAAUUGGGAAUUGAAACGGGGUAUGUGUCUAAAAGACAACAACCCGGCCAUGGAGCAGACAACAUCCAAAGGCCACAAAUACAUCAAAGUAGAGGAUAUAUAUUUAAAACAUCAAAAUGACAUUUGCCUCAUGCCAUGAUCUUAUAGUUUAUAAACAAAAAUUGAGUUAUAAAUUUACAUAAGUCAUGCUGAAGGCCAAAAAUGCUGAAGAGUAGAUCCAAAGAUAUUGAUAAUGAAGCGUGGUCUGAUGAAAACUAUUUCCUCUCUCUCUUGCUUUUACAUGGUAAGCAUAUAAGACAUUGUUUUAGUCUUUGCAUGCUAUAAAAAAUUGAGAGGGAGGAGUAUUUCCCAAAAUUAUUAGGAAUCGUUCUUAAACUUUUUUGGAAGAAUUAAUUACUACUAAUGUAAUUGUCAUUGAGGAAUGCAAGCUUUGAGUAAAUUGUUUCACACUUAUUUAAGCCAUAAUGGGUAUAAAACAUAUAAUUACACGAAAACACAUUUUGCCAACAUAAGUCAUGAAACAUAUAUUUCUGAAACUUUUUGAUCAUUGUUCUCUAAAGAAAAAGACAUGUUCUGGCCUAUUUAUUGUUGUUCUUUAUGCAUGUUAUGCAUUGGUGAAUUUAAAUGUAUAUUUUACUUCAUUAAGAUUUAUUUUAAAUUUUGUACAAAUUAAAAACAUUUUUAAGCAAUAUUUUGUACAGGUUAUAACAUGUAUGAGGUACUUUUGUACAUGUUAUAACUUGUGUUUUUGCAUUAUACAAGUUAUAACAUGUACAAAAUCGCAACUUGUACACGACAUAUACACCAUACAUAUUGAGAAUUGUUUGACGUAUUGUGAAGAGUUUUAUGUGGUCCCUUUCUGUAUGUAUCACAACUGUGUCAUAGUUAAUCCUUACUAGCAUCUGUGUUCAAAUUGAAAGACGAACACGUUGUUAUGCCCCACCUACGAUAGUAGAGGGGCAUUAUGUUUUCUGGUCUAUGCCUCCAUUCGUCCGUCUGUCCGUCCGUUCGCUUCAGGUUAAAGUUUUUGGUCGAGGUAGUUUUUGAUGAAGCUGAAGUCCAAUCAACUUGAAACUUAAUACACAUGUUCCCCAUGAUAUGAUGUUUCUAAUUUUAAUGCCAAAUUAUAGUUUUGACCCCAAUUUCAUGGUCCACUGAACAUAGAAAAUGAUAGUGCAAAGUUCAGGUUGAAGUUUUUGGUCAAGGUAGUUUUUGAUGAAGUUAAAGUUACAUCAACUUGAAACUUAGUACACAUGUUCCCUAUGAUAUGAUCUUUUUAAUUUUAAUUCCAAAUUAAAGUUUUGACCCCAAUUUCACGGUCCACUGAACAUAGAAAAUGAUAGUGGGAGUGGGGCAUCCGUGUACUAUGGACACAUUCUUUUCUUGUUUCUAAUAUUUUGGAUAUAUGAUUGAUACAUUUGUAUUUUAUUCACGGCUUGUUUCACUCUAACUUUUACAUUUUUAGGUUACAUUUGAGCAUGUUUUGGCAGAAGCAGAAGGUGUUCACAGUUUAGACUGCACAUGGAACUGUGUUCACAGUACUUAUACCGGAGCUCGUAACUGUUGCUAUGCAACGCUGACAUUUGUAAUAGGAUUGUGUUGCGCACUUUGUUGGGGUUGCCAUUUUGGCGUAGUUUCGUUUUUCAAUGUAUGGUGUAUAUCACCUACAUUAAGUGUCGUGGCAUAUAUGUUGGAAUGUUGCUACAGCAUAAUUGGUAACAUUGUCAUAUGUAUCUUUGCGCCUAUAUGCGACACGUGUGGCAUCAUGUUUACACAUAUUCAAAUAGAAAGACACAAUAUUCUUAAUGCAGAUUUCGUUUAAGCCAUUUUUGUAUAAUUAAAUAUUCCAAUAAAUUGCAUUUUUUGAAAAAUAGC
rnacentral:lncRNA from 1 species